rnacentral:rRNA from 1 species
CAGCACCUCAAGUGGUCAGGAUGAUUAUUGGGCCUAAAGCAUCCGUAGCCUGCUUUGUUAGUUUUCGGUUAAAUCCAUACGCUCAACGUAUGGGCUGCCGGGAAUACUGCAGCGCUAGGGAGUGGGAGAGGUAGACGGUACUCGGUAGGAAGGGGUAAAAUCCUUUGAUCUAUUGAUGACCACCUGUGGCGAAGGCGGUCUACCAAAACACGUCCGACGGUGAGGGAUGAAAGCUGGGGGAGCAAACCGGAUUAGAUACCCGAGUAGUCC